rnacentral:lncRNA from 1 species
CCUGGGUAAAGACUGCUCCGGGGAAGAAUUCUUCCCCUUCCUUCUACUGGCUAUCCUUUUUCUAAUACAAUGAACAGCAUCUAAGCCAGGUUUCUGCCCCAUAUUUUGAGGCCCUGGAUGAACCAAGCCUGGAUAGCUGAGAAACAAACUCAGGUCCUAAGGCAGUCAUGUCCACCUUGCUGGCUUUCACAUCUCUAUACUUAAUCCUGGAGGAAACAGAAGAACACCUGUUUGAGCCAGAAUUCUUGUCAGGAGGACUUCUGGAUAGGAGAUCACCAGUGAGCCAACUCCUUGAAACAACCACUCCAAAUGCUAUGUUAAGAAUGAAUUGUAGAUGUGAUGGCUGGAGUUCAAGCAGCCAUCUUGUGCCAUAAGAUGAAAACUACACACUGAGGAUGGUGGAGCAUCAAGAGAGAAGGAGCCUGAGUCUGUGAGGACUUCUUAAAGCUGCUCUGCCAGCCCUGGGCAUUCAAAUUUUUUAUAUAUGUAAAAGAAAAAUAAAUUCCUAUUUUGGUUAAACCCUUGUUACUUGGAUUUUCUGUCAGUUGCAAAUACCAUAUUCCUAAACCCUAGUUGAUAUAGGUAGUAGGUAUAUUCCAAAUGGAGUACUUGCUUCCCACCCUCACUCCUUGCCAUGCAGUAGGCACACUUCCCUUAGCCCCCUCCACUGAUCUUAAAUAUGGUACAGGAUGAAGUACAUUUACCUCACGACGACAACAAAGAAUACUGUGAAACACAAAUGUUAAAUAUACACGCCUGUUAUAUCCAGUCACUGAAUAUUCCUAGACGGGCUCAGACUUGAUCUUCACCUCACCCACACCUGCUGAAGCUCUAUUUUUACCCUGACCUACAGGGCAAGCUCUCAGGCUGAACUGGCCUCUAUUUCUGCAGGGAGACUUUGCCGAUUUCCUGGAACUCUAUGGAAGGCUCCAACUUUGGUCUUUUUCAAGGCCAUACAGUUUGAAUCUUGACUCCACCACUUUUCCGCUCUUUGACCCCAGGCAAUUUAUCGAAUCCCUCAGUAUCUCAAUUUUCUUACGUAUAAAAUGAGAAUAAUCUCGUAGUCGUUGUAAGGAUUGAAGAAGCAAUACACACAAAGCUCUUGGUGCCUAAUGAAUAAAAACUCCCCAAAG